rnacentral:rRNA from 1 species
GUUGUAUGGUUAAGUGACUAAGCGUACAUGGUGGAUGCCUUGGCAGUCAGAGGCGAUGAAGGACGUACUAACCUGCGAUAAGCCGUGAGCAGUCGGUAAGAGACAUUACGACUCACGGAUUUCCGAAUGGGGAAACCCACUUAGCAUAAGCUAGGUAUCGCUACGUGAAUACAUAGCGUAGCGAGGCGAACCGGGAGAACUGAAACAUCUAAGUACCCCGAGGAAAAGAAAUCAACCGAGAUUCCCUCAGUAGCGGCGAGCGAACGGGGAUUAGCCCUUAAGCAUCUUGGAAGUUAGUGGAACGGUCCUGGAAAGGCCGGCGAUACAGGGUGAUAGCCCCGUACACGAAAACAACCUUGAUGUGAAAUCGAGUAGGGCGGGACACGUGACAUCCUGUCUGAAUAUGGGGGGACCAUCCUCCAAGGCUAAAUACUCCUGACUGACCGAUAGUGAACCAGUACCGUGAGGGAAAGGCGAAAAGAACCCCUGUGAGGGGAGUGAAAUAGAACCUGAAACCGUGUACGUACAAGCAGUGGGAGCCCUUCGGGGUGACUGCGUACCUUUUGUAUAAUGGGUCAGCGACUUACAUUUUGUAGCGAGGUUAACCGUAUAGGGGAGCCGUAGGGAAACCGAGUCUUAACUGGGCGUCUAGUUGCAAGGUGUAGACCCGAAACCGGGUGAUCUAGCCAUGGGCAGGUUGAAGGUUGAGUAACAUCAACUGGAGGACCGAACCCACUAACGUUGCAAAGUUAGGGGAUGACCUGUGGCUGGGGGUGAAAGGCCAAUCAAACUCGGAGAUAGCUGGUUCUCCCCGAAAGCUAUUUAGGUAGCGCCUCGGACGAAUACUACUGGGGGUAGAGCACUGUUUGGGCUAGGGGGUCAUCCCGACUUACCAACCCCAUGCAAACUCCGAAUACCAGUAAGUAAUAUCCGGGAGACACACGGCGGGUGCUAACGUCCGUCGUGAAGAGGGAAACAACCCAGACCGCCGGCUAAGGUCCCAAAGUUCUGGUUAAGUGGGAAACGAUGUGGGAAGGCUCAGACAGCUAGGAUGUUGGCUUAGAAGCAGCCAUCAUUUAAAGAAAGCGUAAUAGCUCACUAGUCGAGUCGGCCUGCGCGGAAGAUGUAACGGGGCUCAAACCAGGCACCGAAGCCGCGGAUUCACGCUAAGCGUGAGUGGUAGGGGAGCGUUCUGUAAGUCUGCGAAGGUGUAUCGAGAGGUAUGCUGGAGAUAUCAGAAGUGCGAAUGCUGACGUAAGUAACGAUAAAGGGGGUGAAAAGCCUCCUCGCCGGAAGACCAAGGGUUCCUGUCCAACGUUAAUCGGGGCAGGGUGAGUCGACCCCUAAGGCGAGGCCGAAAGGCGUAGUCGAUGGGAAGCAGGUUAAUAUUCCUGCACGACUUGUAAUUGCGAUGGGGGGACGGAGAAGGCUAGGUGGGCCAGGCGACGGUUGUCCUGGUGAAAGUGCGUAGGUGGUGUUUCUAGGCAAAUCCGGAGACACAACACUGAGAUACGAGACGAACACACUACGGUGUGGAAGCCAUUGAUGCCCUGCUUCCAGGAAAAGCCUCUAAGCUUCAGAUUACAAGUCAUCGUACCCCAAACCGACACAGGUGGUCGGGUAGAGAAUACCAAGGCGCUUGAGAGAACUCGGGUGAAGGAACUAGGCAAAAUAGAACCGUAACUUCGGGAGAAGGUUCGCUCUUGACAGUGAAGUCCCUUGCGGAUGGAGCAGUUGGGAGUCGCAGUGACCAGAUGGCUGGGACUGUUUAUCAAAAACACAGCACUCUGCAAACACGAAAGUGGACGUAUAGGGUGUGACACCUGCCCGGUGCCGGAAGGUUAAUUGAUGGGGUUAGCGCAAGCGAAGCUCUUGAUCGAAGCCCCGGUAAACGGCGGCCGUAACUAUAACGGUCCUAAGGUAGCGAAAUUCCUUGUCGGGUAAGUUCCGACCUGCACGAAUGGUGUAACCAUGGCCAUGCUGUCUCCACCCGAGACUCAGUGAAAUCGAAUUCGCCGUGAAGAUGCGGUGUACCCGCGGCUAGACGGAAAGACCCCGUGAACCUUUACUACAGCUUGGCACUGAACAUUGAACCUACAUGUGUAGGAUAGGUGGGAGGCUUUGAAGGCGUGACGCCAGUUGCGCUGGAGCCGUCCUUGAAAUACCACCCUUGUAUGUUUGAUGUUCUAACGCAGGCCCGUGAAUCCGGGUCGCGGACAGUGCCUGGUGGGUAGUUUGACUGGGGCGGUCUCCUCCCAAAGAGUAACGGAGGAGCACGAAGGUUGGCUAAUCCUGGUCGGACAUCAGGAGGUUAGUGCAAUGGCAUAAGCCAGCUUAACUGCGAGACGGACAGGUCGAGCAGGUACGAAAGUAGGUCAUAGUGAUCCGGUGGUUCUGAAUGGAAGGGCCAUCGCUCAACGGAUAAAAGGUACUCCGGGGAUAACAGGCUGAUACCGCCCAAGAGUUCAUAUCGACGGCGGUGUUUGGCACCUCGAUGUCGGCUCAUCACAUCCUGGGGCUGAAGUCGGUCCCAAGGGUAUGGCUGUUCGCCAUUUAAAGUGGUACGCGAGCUGGGUUCAGAACGUCGUGAGACAGUUCGGUCCCUAUCUGCCGUGGGCGUUGGAUGAUUGAAGGGAGUUGCUCCUAGUACGAGAGGACCGGAGUGAACGAACCUCUGGUGUUCGGGUUGUCACGCCAGUGGCACUGCCCGGUAGCUAAGUUCGGAAUCGAUAACCGCUGAAAGCAUCUAAGCGGGAAGCGAGCCCUGAGAUGAGUCAUCCCUGACCCCUUGAGGGUCCUAAAGGGCCGUUGGAGACCACAACGUUGAUAGGUGGGGUGUGUAAGCGCGGCGACGUGUUGAGCUAACCCAUACUAAUUACCCGUGAGGCUUAACCAUACAACACCCAAGAAGUGUUCU